GGCGAGUCAGCGAGAGAGAGAGAGAGAGAGAGAGAGACGAAGAAUGCGGGGUCAAUGCGACGCCGCGCGGCGAGCGUCGCCCGUCCUUUUGACUCUGCCGCUUCCGAGAAAUUCUCCAGAGGCCCGGGUUGCGCAACCGCGCGGGCCGUUGCCCAAGAUUCGAAAAUAGCAGCUUAUCAGCAUAGGCAGGAUUUGCCGCGCUGAUCCCGAAAUACUUACGCCGGCUGGCAGCUAGGGCGCUUGGCGUCGGCUGGAAAAUUCACGCGGCCCGCAGCCCCGGAAACGUGCCGCGGGCAGUAAGUAUCGGCGCUCCGAGAAUAGUCGUUGGAGCGCGCGGGCUAUUAAUAGCGGAUGAGUGUACGCGCGCAUCCCAGCCGUAUCGGCAGUCAUAAUUCGUAAUCAUAAUUCGUAAUCAUAAUUCGUCGCCCGCUUUCUUUUUCGGCUCGCUUAAUUAAUGCUCGAGCGCCGCGCAAACCUUGUAUCGCUCGUACGCCCGAGUCAACUCCAUUACGCAAUACUGCAUCUCGUCCUUACCGAAUCCUAUUUCGGUCCGGCGCGCCUCGGCUCUGGACGGCUGCAGCGCUUCCGCGCUUCCGCGCUUCCGCGCGAGCUCGCGCGCUGCGCCGCUCCGAGGCUCCGCUCGCGGGGAGCGCGCGAGAAAAUAGCUCCGCCGACGCGGGCCGCGAGAGAUGCAAGUGCCGUGUGCAAAGCUCUGUAUGACUAGGCCGGACGCGCCGCGAGCAGCGUCAUUCGAAAUCCAGUAUUAGUGCGCGGUGCUUUGGCGCGAGAGACUUCCCGAGAAGCGUACGACCAGGAGGACAGUGUGCAGCCGAGCGCCAGAGAGCAGUGAUCAGCACCGAGCCCCAUCUCCGGAUCGAGCAGCAGUAGCAGCAGCAGCAGCGCAACGCCCGUCCCUCCGACGAAAGCGAAAGAAAGAAACGAGACGAAAUGCCCUACAAGCCGGUCGAGCAAGCCAAGUGCCCCAAGUGCGGCAAGUCGGUCUACGCCGCGGAGGAGCGCGUAGCCGGAGGACUCAAGUGGCACAAGAUGUGCUUCAAAUGCGGUCUCUGCGGCAAGCUGCUCGACUCGACAAACUGCACGGAGCACGACGGCGAGCUCUUCUGCAAAGUCUGCCACGGGCGCAAAUUCGGCCCCAAGGGCUACGGCUUCGGCGGUGGCGCCGGCUGCCUCUCCAUGGACCAGGGCGAUCACCUCAAGAGCCACGAGGACGGCUACAGCAGGGCGUCGAACGCGAUGAUGGAGCCGCGCGCGAUCGCCAAGGCACCGGAGGGCGAGGGCUGCCCGCGCUGCGGCGGCUACGUCUACGCUGCCGAGCAGAUGCUCGCCAGGGGAAGGGCCUACCAUAAACAAUGCUUCAAGUGCCGAGUCUGCCAGCGGACCCUGGACUCCAGCUUGCAUUGCGACGGUCCCGAUCGCGAGAUAUACUGCCGAGCGACGCGGCCCCCCGCAGCACGCUGAUCGACACCGCGGCCAUCAUGGCUCCGCCGGGCAAGGGCUGCCCCCGCUGCGGCGGCGUCGUCUUCGCGGCCGAGCAGGUGCUCGCCAAGAGCCGCGAGUGGCACCGGAAGUGCUACAAGUGCCGGGACUGCAGCAAGACCCUCGACUCGAUCAUCGCCUGCGACGGCCCGGAUAAGGACGUCUACUGCAAGACCUGCUACGGCAAGCGCUGGGGCCCCCACGGCUACGGCUUCGCCUGCGGAUCCGGCUUCCUGCAGACCGACGGCGUCAGCGAGGAGGAGCUCUCGGCGAGCCGGCCGUUCUACAACCCGGACACGACGUCGAUCAAGGCGCCCGCGGGCCAGGGCUGUCCGCGCUGCGGCGGCAUGGUCUUCGCGGCCGAGCAGCAGCUGGCCAAGGGCACGAUGUGGCACAAGAAGUGCUUCAACUGCGCCGAGUGCCACCGGCCCCUCGACUCGAUGCUCGCCUGCGACGGCCCCGACAAGGAGAUCCACUGCCGCGCCUGCUACGGCAAGCUCUUCGGGCCCAAGGGCUUCGGCUUCGGGCACACGCCGACGCUCGUCUCGACCGACACGGAGCACGCGCCCUCCUACAUCGACUCCAAGCCGGACCUGGGCCAGAAGCGCAACGACGGGCACGGCUGCUCGCGCUGCGGCUACCCGGUCUACGCGGCCGAGCAGAUGAUCUCGAAGAACCGCGUCUGGCACAAGAGGUGCUUCAGCUGCGGAGCCUGCCACCGCUCGCUCGACUCGACGAACCUCAACGACGGCCCGGACGGCGACAUCUACUGCCGCGGCUGCUACGGCCGGAACUUUGGGCCCCGGGGAGUCGGCUUCGGCGUGGGCGCGGGCACCCUCACGAUGGCCUAACGCGCGCAGCGACCGACUCCGCCGAGCUCCGAGACGAAGACGACGCAUCCUGGCCGUUCUGCGGGGAGGGGCGGGUGGGGGGGGGGCAUCCGCUCCUCUCGCGCGGCCCGCGAUGCACGAUCGCAUGACGAGCGCACGUCGCAUCGCUCUUCUUUUAUUAUAAACGUAUACUCAACUUGACGUACUUGUGCUCUCUCACCUACUCUCACUCUGUCUCCCGCCAACCCCUCCCACGUGUACAUUAUUUUAUCGCAUCGCUCCUAAUCGAGUUUCCCCCCACCUUCCCCCUCACCGCUCGUCACUCGGAUGCGCGACCAAGCGCCGAGGCAGUGCCUGCAGGGUGUUGAUCGAUCCGCGGAUCGGUGCUGCUCUCUUACACCGCUCGCGAUUCCCUCGGCCUUGCGCAAUAUCAGACGCCGUCUCGCGCAUCGCACUUUUGUAGCCGCCGUACCUGUUGUAUACGACACCUCAUGUAACCGCGACACACUAUACACAAGAAUGCGACAACUUCUUUAUUUUCAAUAAAAUGAAUAUGCCAACUUAA